rnacentral:lncRNA from 1 species
AAGUUCUGAGGAUGACUUGGGUUAGAUCUCUUGCGAGAGAUAUUUUUUUAUGUUUUUAUGUUUCGGCCCUGAAUGGCCUUGUUUGUAUUUCAGGACUGGCCGUGUGUGGCUUUGGAUCCCUGCCGCUCCGCGGCUUUCUUUUUAUAGUACGAUAAUCGGAUAACGCUUUUUAUGAGUUUGUGAAUAGCGGGGAAGAAGGUGAUGAG